GACGAACGCUGGCGGCGUGCUUAACACAUGCAAGUCGGACGAAGUGGCGAACGGGUGAGUAACGCGUAAUCAACCUGCCCUUCAGAGGGGGACAACAGUUGGAACCGACUGCUAAUACCGCAUACUGAAGGAGGGGAUUGCGUCUGAUUAGCUAGGUGGAGGGGUAACGGCCCACCAAGGCUAUGAUCAGUAGCCGGUCUGAGAGAAGUAACGGCCACAUUGGGACUGAGACACGGCCCCGAAUCCUACGGGAGGCAGCAGUGGGGAAGCUUCCGCAAUGGACGAAAGUCUGACGGAGCAACGCCGCGGUAGUGAUGACGGCCUUCGGGUUGUAAAGCUAUUUUAAUCGGUACGCGGUACCGGAAUAGAAAGCCACGGCUAACUACGUGCCAGCAGCCGCGGUAAUUC
rnacentral:rRNA from 1 species